GACGAACGCUGGCGGCGUGCUUAACACAUGCAAGUCGAACGGAAAGGCCCUGCUUUUGUGGGGUGCUCGAGUGGCGAACGGGUGAGUAACACGUGAGUGACCUGCCCCUGACUUUGGGAUAACUUCAGGAAACUGGGGCUAAUACCGGAUAGGAGCUCCUGCUGCAUGGUGGGGGUUGGAAAGUUUCGGCGGUUGGGGAUGGACUCGCGGGGUAUCAGCUUGUUGGUGGGGUAGUGGCUUACCAAGGCUUUGACGGGUAGCCGGCCUGAGAGGGUGACCGGCCACAAUGGGACUGAGAUACGGCCCAGACUCCUACGGGAGGCAGUAGUGGGGAAUAUUGCACAAUGGGCGGAAGCCUGAUGCAGCAACGCCGCGUGCGGGAUGACGGCCUUCGGGUUGUAAACCGCUUUCGCCUGUGACGAAGCGUGAGUGACGGUAAUGGGUAAAGAAGCACCGGCUAACUACGUG
rnacentral:rRNA from 1 species